rnacentral:rRNA from 1 species
GAUGAACGCUGGCGGCGUGCCUAAUACAUGCAAGUCGAGCGAACAGAUGAGGAGCUUGCUCCUCUGACGUUAGCGGCGGACGGGUGAGUAACACGUGGAUAACCUACCUAUAAGACUGGGAUAACUUCGGGACACCGGAGCUAAUACCGGAUAAUAUAUUGAACCGCAUGGUUCAAUAGUGAAAGACGGUUUUGCUGUCACUUAUAGAUGGAUCCGCGCCGCAUUAGCUAGUUGGUAAGGUAACGGCUUACCAAGGCAACGAUGCGUAGCCGACCUGAGAGGGUGAUCGGCCACACUGGAACUGAGACACGGUCCAGACUCCUACGGGAGGCAGCAGUAGGGAAUCUUCCGCAAUGGGCGAAAGCCUGACGGAGCAACGCCGCGUGAGUGAUGAAGGUCUUCGGAUCGUAAAACUCUGUUAUUAGGGAAGAACAAAUGUGUAAGUAACUAUGCACGUCUUGACGGUACCUAAUCAGAAAGCCACGGCUAACUACGUG